rnacentral:lncRNA from 10 species
UUCACUCCUGAAGUCAGCGAGACCACGAACCCCCCAGGUGGAACGAACAACUCCAGACGCGCCACCUUUAAGAGCUGUAACACUCACUGUGAAGGCCUACGGUUUCACUCCUGAAGUCAGUGAGACCACGAACCCAGACCAACUCCGGACACAUCUGAACAUCUGAAGGUCCCUGGUAUGACUUAGCUGAUAGCUCAUCCUUCACAAGAAUGCUUACAUGAAUGGCACCCGAGUUGGAAGGAAAGAAGAUCCAGUGGAUCAUUUCAGAAUUUAGUUUGGCUCUCCCCACACAGGAUUUAACCAGGCUGACAGAUUCAGCACAGGAAAGUAUUUUAAUGUAAUGAUAUACCACCACUUCUAGACCCAAUGACAAGAUGAAAAUCCAAGAGCAGGCAUAAAACACCUAUAAAGAAAUGACAGAGCUUGAAGUCAGUGUGAAUAAUUUCUGAAUCAUAAAUUCACAAAGGGAACAGGGAAAAGAAAGGAGAAAAGGAGAAGCAAAGAGGAGGGGGAAAAGUUGAGUA